GACGAACGCUGGCGGCGUGCCUAAUACAUGCAAGUCGAGCGGACUUGAUGGAGCUUGCUCCUGAUAGUCAGCGGCGGACGGGUGAGUAACACGUGGGCAACCUGCCUGUAAGACUGGGAUAACUUCGGGAAACCGGAGCUAAUACCGGAUACGUUCUUUUCUCGCAUGAGAGAAGAUGGAAAGACGGUUUCGGCUGUCACUUACAGAUGGGCCCGCGGCGCAUUAGCUAGUUGGUGGGGUAAUGGCGCACCAAGGCGACGAUGCGUAGCCGACCUGAGAGGGUGAUCAGCCACACUGGGACUGAGACACGGACCAGACUCCUACGGGAGGCAGCAGUAGGGAAUCUUCCGCAAUGGACGAAAGUCUGACGGAGCAACGCCGCGUGAGUGAAGAAGGUUUUCGGAUCGUAAAACUCUGUUGUCAGGGAAGAACAAGUACCAUAGUAACUGAUGGUACCUUGACGGUACCUGACCAGAAAGCCACGGCUAACUACGUGCCAGCAGCCGCGGUAAUAC
rnacentral:rRNA from 1 species